rnacentral:pre_miRNA from 1 species
UAAUCAGUUGUUGUAUUCGACUGUAUUCACGACGUGAAAUAGGGGAUUACACUGUUUUUAAAACGGAAAGUGAAUCAAUUAACAUAAUAGACUC